UGGCGAACGGGUGAGUAACACGUGGGUGAUCUGCCCUGCACUUCGGGAUAAGCCUGGGAAACUGGAUCUAAUACCGGAUAGGACGAUGGUUUGGAUGCCAUUGUGGAAAGUUUUUCGGUGUGGGAUGAGCUCGCGGCCUAUCAGCUUGUUGGUGGGGUAAUGGCCUACCAAGGCGUCGACGGGUAGCCGGCCUGAGAGGGUGUACGGCCACAUUGGGACUGAGAUACGGCCCAG
rnacentral:rRNA from 1 species